rnacentral:rRNA from 1 species
AUGGACGUAAGUCUGAACCAGCCAAGUAGCGUGCAGGAUUGACGGCCCUAUGGGUUGUAAACUGCUUUUGUUGGGGAGUAAAGUGAGGCACGCGUGCCUUUCUGCAUUUACCCUUCGAAUAAGGACCGGCUAAUUCCGCGCCAGCAGCCGCGGUAAUACGGAAGGUCCAGGCGUUAUCCGGAUUUAUUGGGUUUAAAGGGAGUGUAGGCGGUCUGUUAAGCGUGUUGUGAAAUUUAGGUGCUCAACAUCUAACUUGCAGCGCGAACUGGCGGACUUGAGUGCACGCAACGUAUGCGGAAUUCAUGGUGUAGCGGUGAAAUGCUUAGAUAUCAUGACGAACUCCGAUUGCGAAGGCAGCGUACGGGAGUGUUACUGACGCUUAAGCUCGAAGGUGCGGGUAUCGAACAGGAUUAGAUACCCUGGUAGUCCGCACGGUAAACGAUGGAUGCCCGCUGUUAGCGCCUGGCGUUAGCGGCUAAGCGAAAGCAUUAAGCAUCCCACCUGGGGAGUACGCCGGCAACGGUGAAACUCAAAGGAAUUGACGGGGGCCCGCACAAGCGGAGGAACAUGUGGUUCAAUUCGAUGAUACGCGAGGAACCUUACCCGGGCUUGAAUUGCAGACGCAGGAUACAGAGAUGUUGACUCCCUUCGGGGCGUCUGUGAAGGUGCUGCAUGGUUGUCGUCAG